GAAAAAAAUUGAGGAUUUGGAGAAAGCAUUUGCACAGAAGAGCGCCGACUGGGAGAAAAAAGAACAAGAUAAAGAUGCUGUUAUAGCAGAGCUUACAUUUAAAAUUAAUCGUAUUGGGAGCGUAUGCGAUCAAUCUGUUGGAAAGGCGUCCAUCCUGAAACCAGUACAUAUUAUUAAAUCAACGCCACAACAGAAACCAACUCCAAAGCUCCAAGUUGUGAAAAAUGAAGCUAUUGUUCGCCCGAGCACUUCCAAAAGGCAGCCUAUUCGGCGCAAAGUUGUUAUCGAACAACAUCUUUCCGAUUUCGAAAGUGACAAUGAGGAAUCAAGUUCUCAAAAAAACAGAAAUAAUGUUACUUUCAAACGUCCACGUGUGGCUGCUAACGUGGUAGCUAACGUUAACGUGGUAGAGGAAGACCUGUUCGAUAGCUUGAAGAGGUCAAAUUAGUUAAUUAAGUUGAAACAACAUAAAGAAUACAAUCUCAUUUAGUUUAUCUUGAAGAUAAGAAAAUAGAGAAAGUUUAUUUUACCUCAAGUUUUCUUAAAUUA